rnacentral:rRNA from 1 species
CAUGUGUAGCGGUGAAAUGCGUAGAUAUAUGGAGGAACACCGGUGGCGAAAGCGGCUCUCUGGUCUGUCACUGACGCUGAGGCUCGAAAGCGUGGGUAGCGAACAGGAUUAGAUACCCUGGUAGUCCACGCCGUAAACGCUGAGUGCUAGGUGUUAGGUCCUUNCCGGGACUUAGUGCCGACGCUAACGCAUUAAGCACUCCGCCUGGGGAGUACGACCGCAAGGUUGAAACUCAAAGGAAUUGACGGGGGCCCGCACAAGCGGUGGAGCAUGUGGUUUAAUUCGAAGCAACGCGAAGAGCCUUACCAGGUCUUGACAUCCCGAUGCCCGCUCUAGAGAUAGAGUUUUACUUUUUGUACAUCGGAGACGGGUGGUGCAUGGUUGUCGUCAGCUCGUGUCGUGAGAUGUUGGGUUAAGUCCCGCAACGAGCGCAACCCUUAUUGUUAGUUGCCAUCAUUAAGUUGGGCACUCUAGCGAGACUGCCGGUAAUAAACCGGAGGAAGGUGGGGAUGACGUCAAAUCAUCAUGCCCCUUAUGACCUGGGCUACACACGUGCUACAAUGGUUGGUACAACGAGUCGCAAGCCGGUGACGGCAAGCUAAUCUCUGAAAGCCAAUCUCAGUUCGGAUUGUAGGCUGCAACUCGCCUACAUGAAGUCGGAAUCGCUAGUAAUCGCGGAUCAGCACGCCGCGGUGAAUACGUUCCCGGGCCUUGUACAC